AAAAUCCUGAGAUGUUCGUAAGCCCUUGAUAAUUCGACCGACAUUAGACAUCCGGGAGUUCGGGUUCUGUGGUGUAUGACAUGCCUAAUUAAUGUAGGAAGUCAAAAGCUACAGAUAGAACACCCACCUGUGUGAGCAGCGGGUGCGAAUUAGAAGGGCGACGGCACCACGGGAUAACC
rnacentral:other from 2 species